CAGGAGGAAAGGCAGUUGUCCACACUCAGCUGGGAAACCAAACCAGGACUAAUUGUGUCUGAAAGCAAUGCCUGCACCAGUGCUCUGAGCAAACAGGAUGAAUGUCUUCCAUGCCCAUGUCUCCUGCCUGCUCUUUCUCCCCUAGGAAAUUCAGAGCCAGGGGCUCUCCCCAGCUUCCCCUCUUUCCAAGUCUCUGAUUCUUCAGAGAGUGGAGGUGUGAGCUGUUCCACUGCAGCAGAGCAGGGUAAGCAGGGAUGGUUUUGUAUGCAAGGAGUUUUGCAUGCAGAGGAUCAGAUUGCACGAAGCCCAGCUGCAAAAUAACCUUGAGAAAAUCUGCAUGAAGCUCUGAGUAGGAAUGGGGGAGCAUGCUGGUUUAGAGAAGAAAUUGGAGGUUGGAUCUACAGGGCAGAGAGGAUGUCACUGCUGGAGGAAGAACUGGAGCAUAUCUCGGGGCCUUCUGAGCUUGGUGUUCUUGGGAGGAGGCCAGCUCUCCUAAAAAUGCCUUGCUGGAUGACUGGAGAGCAGCGAGGGAAAGGUUACAGAAAUGCUGUGUCCGUGCAUGUGAAUAUGUUUAUGUUUCACUGGAAAACUUCAAGCUGAACUGGUUGGUGAGUAGAAGACCAGAAUGUGAAAGCCCAAGGCUGGACACAGGGAGAUGCUGGCUGUCCUGCAGCGGGAAGGGCCAUCGACGGAGGGGAUAUUCCGCAGAGCUGCCAGCGGGCCGGAGCUUUGGAAGCUGCGGGAGGCCCUGGAACGCAGCGCACACGUCGACUUGGGAAGUCAGCCUGCGCUGCUGCUGGCCGUCCUCUUGAAGGUGAGUGCUUCUGACCUGCACUUGGAAGAGCUCCUGCCUGGUCUGAAGUGUUCAGAGGCUCAGCUGGAGGCCUUGGCGUUGCAGGACUUCCUCCGAAGCAUCCCUGCCAAGCUCCUCGUGGCAGAGCUCUACGAGGACUGGAUGGCAGCGAUGCAGGAGGCCAGCAAGGAGGAGAAGAUUGAAGAGCU